rnacentral:rRNA from 1 species
UGCUUUACACAUGCAAGUCGGACGGCAGCACGGACUUCGGUCUGGUGGCGAGUGGCGAACGGGUGAGUAAUGUAUCGGAACGUGCCCAGUAGCGGGGGAUAACUACGCGAAAGCGUGGCUAAUACCGCAUACGCCCUACGGGGGAAAGCGGGGGACCUUCGGGCCUCGCACUAUUGGAGCGGCCGAUAUCGGAUUAGCUAGUUGGUGGGGUAACGGCUCACCAAGGCAACGAUCCGUAGCUGGUUUGAGAGGACGACCAGCCACACUGGGACUGAGACACGGCCCAGACUCCUACGGGAGGCAGCAGUGGGGAAUUUUGGACAAUGGGGGCAACCCUGAUCCAGCCAUCCCGCGUGUGCGAUGAAGGCCUUCGGGUUGUAAAGCACUUUUGGCAGGAAAGAAACGGCGCCGGCUAAUACCUGGCGCUAAUGACGGUACCUGCAGAAUAAGCACCGGCUAACUACGUGCCAGCAGCCGCGGUAAUACGUAGGGUGCAAGCGUUAAUCGGAAUUACUGGGCGUAAAGCGUGCGCAGGCGGUUCGGAAAGAAAGAUGUGAAAUCCCAGAGCUUAACUUUGGAACUGCAUUUUUAACUACCGGGCUAGAGUGUGUCAGAGGGAGGUGGAAUUCCGCGUGUAGCAGUGAAAUGCGUAGAUAUGCGGAGGAACACCGAUGGCGAAGGCAGCCUCCUGGGAUAACACUGACGCUCAUGCACGAAAGCGUGGGGAGCAAACAGGAUUAGAUACCCU